CCUAAUACAUGCAAGUCGAACGGUCUUUCUAUGGAAGCUUGCUCCACUGAGAAGAUAGUGGCGAACGGGUGAGUAACAACGUGGGUAACCUGCCCAUAAGAGGGGGGAGUAACAAUCCGGAAACGGGUGCUAAUACCGCAUAGUUUUCUUGAUUGCAUGAUUGAGAAAGGAAAGACGGCCUUUGUGCUGUCGCUUAUGGAUGGACCCGCGGCGUAUUAGUUAGUUGGUGAGGUAACGGCUCACCAAGACGAUGAUACGUAGCCGACCUGAGAGGGUGAUCGGCCACAUUGGGACUGAGACACGGCCCAAACUCCUACGGGAGGCAGCAGUAGGGAAUCUUCCGCAAUGGACGAAAGUCUGACGGAGCAACGCCGCGUGAGUGAAAGAAGGUUUUCGGAUCGUAAAACUCUGUUGUCAGAGAAGAACAAGUUGGAGAGUAACUGCUCCAGCCUUGACGGUAUCUGACCAGAAAGCCACGGCUAACUACGUGCCAGCCGCCGC
rnacentral:rRNA from 1 species